UCCAGACUCCUACGGGAGGCAGCAGUGGGGAGUAUUGUACAAUGGGGGAAACCCUGAUGCAGCGACGCCGCGUGAGCGAUCAAGUAUUUCGGUAUGUAAAGCUCUCUCAGCAGGGAAGAAAAUGACGGUACCUGACUAAGAAGCCCUGGCUAACUACGUGCCAGCAGCCGCGGUAAUACGUAGGGGGCAAGCGUUAUCCGGAUUUACUGGGUGUAAAGGGAGCGUAGACGGUCCUGCAAGCCAGAUGUGAAAGCCCGGGGCUCAACCCCGGGACUGCAUUUGGAACUGUAAGGCUAGAGUGUCGGAGAGGCAGGCGGAAUUCCUAGUGUAGCGGUGAAAUGCGUAGAUAUUAGGAGGAACACCAGUGGCGAAGGCGGCUUACUGGACUGUAACUGACGUUGAGGCUCGAAAGCGUGGGGAGCAAACAGGAUUAGAUACCCUUGUAUU
rnacentral:rRNA from 1 species